rnacentral:rRNA from 1 species
GUUUAAUUCGAAGCAACGCGCAGAACCUUACCAGCGUUUGACAUGUCCGGACGAUUUCCAGAGAUGGAUCUCUUCCCUUCGGGGACUGGAACACAGGUGCUGCAUGGCUGUCGUCAGCUCGUGUCGUGAGAUGUUGGGUUAAGUCCCGCAACGAGCGCAACCCUCGCCUUUAGUUACCAUCAUUCAGUUGGGGACUCUAAAGGAACCGCCGGUGAUAAGCCGGAGGAAGGUGGGGAUGACGUCAAGUCCUCAUGGCCCUUACGCGUUGGGCUACACACGUGCUACAAUGGCGGUGACAGUGGGCAGCAAACCGGCGACGGUGAGCUAAUCUCCAAAAGCCGUCUCAGUUCGGAUUGUUCUCUGCAACUCGAGAGCAUGAAGGCGGAAUCGCUAGUAAUCGCGGAUCAGCAUGCCGCGGUGAAUACGUUCCCAGGCCUUGUACACUCCGCC